AGCCUAUCACCAACCAAUGAAAGA
rnacentral:siRNA from 1 species